GGCCUUCGGGUUGUAAACCGCUUUCGCCUGUGACGAAGCGUGAGUGACGGUAAUGGGUAAAGAAGCACCGGCUAACUACGUGCCAGCAGCCGGGGUGAUACGUAGGGUGCGAGCGUUGUCCGGAUUUAUUGGGCGUAAAGGGCUCGUAGGUGGUUGAUCGCGUCGGAAGUGUAAUCUUGGGGCUUAACCCUGAGCGUGCUUUCGAUACGGGUUGACUUUGAGGAAGGUAGGGGAGAAUGGAAUUCCUGGUGGAGCGGUGGANUGCCCAGAUAUCAGGAGGAACACCAGUGGCGAAGCCGGUUCUCUGGNCCUUUCCUGACGCUGAGGAGCGAAAAGCUUGGGGGNGCNAACAGNAUUAGAUACCCCUGGUAGUCC
rnacentral:rRNA from 1 species